rnacentral:rRNA from 1 species
UAUCUCUGUAGAGUCUGCAUAUCAAUAAGCGGAGGAAAAGAAACUAACUAGGAUUCCCUCAGUAACGGCGAGUGAAGCGGGAAGAGCUCAAAUUUGAAAUCUUCAAGGUUCUACCUUGACGAAUUGUAGUUUAAAGAAGCGUUUUCUGUUGGAGUUUUGGUAAAAGUUCUUUGGAAUAGGACAUCAUAGAGGGUGAGAAUCCCGUAUUUGACCAUUAUUUCCAGCUUUGUGAUACACUUUCAAAGAGUCGGAUUGUUUGGGAAUGCAGUCCAAAAUGGGUGGUAAAUUUCAUCUAAAGCUAAAUACUGGCGAGAGACCGAUAGCGAACAAGUACCGUGAGGGAAAGAUGAAAAGAACUUUGAAAAGAGAGUUAAACAGUACGUGAAAUUGUCAAAAGGGAAGCGUUUGACACCAGUGUUGUUUUCUCGAAAAUCAAUUAAAAAAGGCAGGAUUUUGUGUUGUAUUGACUUUAUCAGCUUUCUGCACUCUUUUCUUGUCUUUUUUAAUGCACUUUUCGUUUAACAAGUCAACAUCAAUUUCUUUUGUUGUAAAAGGGUCAUUGGAAGGUGGCUUUCUUUUCGGAGAAAGUGUUUAUAGCCUUUGGCCUCUGCAAUCGGAGAGAUUGAGGUCUGCAGCGUAGAUCCUUCGGGGUUAGAUACAUUUGUGCUAAGUUAUAGCCUUUCAUAGACAACUUGUUGACUAUGAUCAGUCAUGUAGCUUACUCGCUUAUGCUAUUUUACCUACGCUUAGGAUGUUGAUAGUCACAGCGUGUAC